UGCCGGAUCGUCUAGUGGUAGGACGCCGCGCUCUGGACGCGGAAACUGGGGUUCGAAUCCCUGUCCGGCAG
rfam:Parcubacteria bacterium GW2011_GWA1_59_11 TY99_C0013, whole genome shotgun sequence.